rnacentral:rRNA from 1 species
GACGAACGCUGGCGGCAGGCCUAAUACAUGCAAGUCGAACGGAUCCUUCGGGAUUAGUGGCGGACGGGUGAGUAACACGUGGGAACGUGCCCUUUGGUUCGGAACAACUCAGGGAAACUUGAGCUAAUACCGGAUAAGCCCUUGGGGAAAGAUUAUCGCCAUUGGAGCGGCCCGCGUCUGAUUAGCUAGUUGGGUGGGGUAAAGGCCUACCAAGGCGACGAUCAGUAGCUGGUCUGAGAGGAUGANCAGCCACACUGGGACUGAGACACGGCCCAGACUCCUACGGGAGGCAGCAGGUGGGGAAUUGUUCGCAAGUGGGCGAAAGCCUGGACCGACGCAACGCCGGCGUGGAGGACGAAGAUUUUCGGAUCGUAAACUCCUUUCGAUCGGGACGAAUGACUGGUGGCCCAAUACGCCAUCAGAGUGACGGUACCGAGAG